rnacentral:rRNA from 1 species
UACGGAGGGUGCGAGCGUUAAUCCGAAUCGCUGGGCGUAAAGCGCGCGUAGGCGGCUUUUCAAGUCAGGGGUGAAAUCCCACGGCCCAACCGUGGAACUGCCUUUGAAACUGUAGAGCUUGAGUGUCGGAGAGGGUGGCGGAAUUCCAGGUGUAGGAGUGAAAUCCGUAGAUAUCUGGAGGAACACCGGUGGCGAAGGCGGCCACCUGGACGACAACUGACGCUGAGGUGCGAAAGCGUGGGUAGCAAACAGG